UACAGAGACUGCAAGCGUUAUUCGGAUUCACUGGGCGUAAAGGGUGCGCAGGCGGCCGUGUGUGUCAGGUGUGAAAGCCCGGAACUUAACUCCGGAAUUGCGCCUGAAACUACAUGGCUAGAGCAUUGGAGAGGGUAGCGGAAUUCACGGUGUAGCAGUGAAAUGCGUAGAUAUCGUGAGGAACACCAGAGGCGAAGGCGGCUACCUGGACAAUUGCUGACGCUCAGGCACGAAAGCGUGGGGAGCAAAAGGG
rnacentral:rRNA from 1 species